CUUUUUGUUGAUGUUGAUGCCAUUCUUUUCUGUUUAUUAGUUUUCCUUCUAACAGGCCCCUCUGCUACAAGUCUGCUGAAGUUUGCUGGAGGUUUACUUCAGACUCUUUUUGCUGGGUAUCAGCAGUGGAGGCUGCAAAACAGUAAAGACUGCUGCCUGUUCCUUCCUCUGGAAGCUUCAUCCCACAGUGGCACCUGCCAGGUUCCAGCCUGAGGAAAUUCAAGGGAUAGUUAUUGAACUAAAUAAACCACAAGGAAGCCAUCAGAUAAAUCUGGAAAGUUAAAUCAAGAACAUGGAAAGAAACUGAAAAAAAAAAAAAAAAAAAAAAAACCAAAUCAUAUACUGGGAGAAGAUACUCACAAGACAUAAAACUGGAACAGUGUUGCUAUCCAGCAUAUGUUAAGAAUUUUUAUAAUUUCAUAAGAACUAAUAAGCAAUUUGAAAAAAAGGAUGGAUAAUGCAGCAGACAAUAUGGCUUUAAGUUUCAGAAGCCUAAAUCUAGUUGGACACAGGUUCUAAAUAAUAGCACUGUGAGAAAAGAUGAAGAGCCAGGCUGCCCCUAUCAAAAGAUUCUCCAGAAUAGAGGAGAGGAAGAAUUGGAAGAGCAGGCUAAACAGGAACCUAUUUUUAAUCAUCUCAGAUCCAAGGAAAUUUUACUGUAGUGGAAAAAGCUCCAGAGUGAAAGAAAUAUAAAAUUUACCCGUGAGUAUUUUUCAAAAAGUAUAUCCUCACCUACUUCUUCUCACUCCCACCAAGGACAUGUCAGUACCUCCAAGCUAGAUACUGUAGUUGAGAAAAAGUUGUUCAUGCAAUUUGUAUUUCCUGUUCCCAUCCAUGUCUCUUCACUUUUUGAGUAUGAAAAUCAAUGGAGAAGUUGAGCUGUAAAAUUAUGUGAUUUUGCUAGCAAAAAUUCUACUACCUAAUGAUGGUUUUCUUCCUAGGAGUUAUUGGUUUUAUCCAUAUCUUCUUCAUUGGGACUUAUUUAGUAUGUGGAUACAUUCUCUCAGGUCAUGGACCUUAAUUCUAAUAUAUUCUAUUAGAUAGGUAGCGGAUUAAAUGAGGAUCAUUUUCUCUUUCUCCACUUUGUUUUGCUUGGCUAGUAUUUGACAUCUUGGAUCAGAGAACUUUAGAUACAUAGGCUUUCUUGAUCUUUAGAAAUAGAUUGUCUGCAAUCUGGCUGAGUCCUACUAUAUUGUCAGAAAAAGUAGCUCUGGCAUAUAGUAAGCACUCAAGCAAUGGUUGUUCCAGCAAAGUACCUUUGUAGUUUAAUAAUAUGCAUUUUAAGAAAAUACUGAUAAAAAGUAAUUUUACUUUCAUUUCGGCUUUUGAUAUUAAGGGCCAGACUUUUUCUUAGUUAUAUUUAAAUUAAUUUUGAAGGAAUAAAAACAGGAUAAAAUAGGCUUAAUGGGAUAGAAAUAAUCUUUCUAAAGUGGAGUUAUUAUUUUUAUUCUAAUAAAUUGUUUGUGAUUGUUGAUUCUGGUCAUUUGAAUGAGAAGGUAGCUUUUAUUCAUCAGUCUGUGGUAGACCAAAUUGAGCCCCAUAUCUGUAAAUUCCUAGUUAGAUAUCUUGUUAUUUAAAUCCUUGGUAUCAACUCAGUAUACUAUGCACAAAGUAGCCACUUAAAUAUACUAAUCAUUAGGGUUUUAAAAAUAAUUUUUUGAUAAAAAUAAUAGAAGGUUGUUGUAAAUAAUUGUCAAUACAAUUCUCAAUAGAAGGAAAAUAAAAGUUAUCCAUAAUUCUAACUGCAAUGAGCAUCAUGGAAAAUUUUGAUGUAUUGCUUAAAAUAAUUUAAUAUUCGCUCC